rnacentral:lncRNA from 1 species
CCUUUCCGGUGGAGGACCCUUCCCCCUGGGUUGAUCUUGAGGAACUUAAGAGACGGUGUUUUGACUCGACUCCUUUCCCCUUUUUCCUCCCGGUAUCAAUAGUUUUCUACAGGUUCGGGACUACACUGUUUAAUAUAUAACCCCAACCCUUGGUACCGCACUGACCUUCAGUAUUUGGUUGCUGAAAUCUUCAAUGAUGAAAGGGGUUGGUAUGAUAAUUGACACAGAUUAGUAAACCGGGUCCUUUUCUUCCCUACUUUCCCGUAACAUCCUGUCCCCACCCCACUCCCUCACCUAAACCUGAUGAGACCAGAAAUGCAUUUUAAGUUGCAUGUAUUAUUUACAUUGAAAUAUUACAAUUUGAAGGUUCAUCUAAAUUUAAGGCUAUAUUCUUGGGAAUUGGGUUUCCUCACUCAGCUCUGCCACUGACCACAGUGGGCCUUGAAUUUCUAAGUUGACAUAAACUUAGCCUAGGUUGAUUAGCUCUCACUUGUAAUUUUUUUUUUUCCUCAGAAAGCAAUAACCACAGGAGGUAAUUGUGAAGUGAUAGGCUUAUCUUUGGUUGUUAUUGCCAUGGAACUUGACAAAACAAAUAUGAAUAAUUGAUACAACAAAAUGAUAUAAAAAGAUACAUGAGACCUAGACAACUCAUUGCAAGUAGUUUAGCAAAAUACCAGACUGAAUAAUUUUAUAGUUGAAGUAUAAUGUACAGGUUGAGUAUUCUUUAUCCAAAGUGCUUGGGACCAGAAAUGUUUUGGAUUUUGGACUUUUUCAGAUUUUGGAAUAUUUGCAUAUACAUAAUGAGAUAUUUCAGCUAUAGGACCCAAGUCUAAAUUUGAAUUUCAUUUGUUCCAUUUAUACCUUAUACACAUAGACUGAAGAUAAUUUUAUAUAAUAUUUUCAAUAACUUUGUGCACGAAACAAAGUCUUGACUGCCUUUUGACUGUGAUCCUCCACUUGAGGUCAGAUGUGGAAUUUUCCAUUUGUGGCAUCAUGUUGACACUCAAAAAUUUUGGAUUUUGGAGCAUUUUGAAUUUUGGAUUUUUAGAUUAGGGAUGUUUGACCUGUAUGUAACAGUUAACACUUAACAAGCCAUUAUCAUGUCCUCAGCACUUUUACGUGCUUACCUCAUUUAAUCUUUACAAUGACCCUAGGAGAUAGGUUCAAUUGUUAUUCUCAUUUUACAAAUGAUAAAAAUGACUAUGAAUUUGGUCCACUCACAGCCUGUGAACCUCAUUCCUCACCUGUAAAAUGUGAAUAAUAAAUAGUAUUUGCCAUGUCUACUUCAAGGAAUUGUUAUAAAAUUCGUGUGAAAAUGUAUUUGUGUACUCUUUCAAAAUUUAUGUGGCAGUUAUUCCAUGAUCACCUCUGUAUCAGUCAGUUCAAUUAUUAAUGAUAACAGGAAAUUGGAAUAAUGAGGGCUUAGCUAGCAAGAAGUAAAGAGAACUCUAAAUACUACAGAUGUAGCAGGUAUAUAAUAGUAGAUAUGAUAGCCACUACCCCUGGAACUGAGAUAAAGCAUUCUCUUCCCUUAGCUGAGAUCCAGACCUUCUUAGAGAGAACACAGCCAGUGGAGAGUCACUCUAUGGCAGGAAAUAUUCUGUAUUGCCUUACAGGCAGAACUUGCUGAAACUCCAACCUCUGGAAAUUACUGGAACCCUGCAUUCUAGAACUUGCUGGAAACCCACCCUCUGGAAUUGGCCUGCUAGAGUGCCUGAGAAGGAUGUUCAUAGGGAAAUGUUUCAGCAGAGGAACUCUACUACAAAAACCACAAGAGGGAGGGUGCCAGGGGAAGUGGCCUGGUGCUAUUGAAACUGCAACACAGAAGCCAGCCACUGGAGAGAGCUGCACAAGCUGCAGGAACACCCUACCCAGUAAGCCGGCCAGAAGGAGGGAGCAAAACCUUUUCUCUCUGCAACAUCUUUCCAGUUUCCUCUACUGGAAAAGCUUCAUUGCCAGCUGACAAAAGGAAAAAUACUUAAAUGGAUCAGAUCCAUUUUCACAGAGCAGUCAAUAAUGGUGAAUUUGGAGAUGAUAAGCAACAAAUUGAUGAACUGGCACAACUUCCCUGCUACUUUCUUGAUUGUAAUGCCUAGAUAGGGAAUAGGAAAGUUAUUGAAAUGUAUGUGUUCCCAUGAAAUGUGUUUAUUUGUUGUUCAAGAUCAAUACUAAUAAAUGGGGACUAAUGUUCUGAAGUAUUUUGGAACAAUUAGAAUCACCACUCUUAACCCUGUGGCCAAAGUCUUAAAUGGACAGGGAGGAAAAUGUUUAUAAACUGAAGCAAAAAUUGAUCUACAUAGAAAAUAAAUCUGGAGUAUUUACUUGGGACUCUGCAGAGUUCCCCCUGGCAAGAAUGUUCUCACCAGAUGCAGCCUGUCAAUCUUGGACUUCCCAGCCUCCAGAAUCAUGAGGUAAAGAAACCUUUAUUUUUUAUAAAUUUCUUUUCUCAAAUAUUUAGUUAUAGCAACAUCAAGCAAAUGAAGACAAGCUAUUGUCAAAAAGACAAAAGAUAACAAGUGUUGGCAAGCAUGUAAGGAAAAAGAAACUCUUGCACACUGUUAGUGGAAAUAUAAAUUAGUACAACCAUUAUGGAAAAUUUUAUGGAGGUUCCUAAAAAUGUUAAAAAAAGAGCUACUAUAUGAUGUUACUACUGGUUAUAUAUCAAAACAAAAUGAAAUCAGUAUGUACAAAAGGUAUUUUCACUCCCAUGUUUAUUGCAGCAUUAUUUACAGUAGCCAAGAUAUGGAAUCAACCCAACUGUCCAUCAACAGAUAAAUGAAUAAGGAAAAUAUGGUAUAUACACAGUGGAAUACUAUUCAUUCAUUGAAAAGAAGGAAAUCCUGCCAUUUGCAUCAACAUGGAUGAACCUGGAGGAUAUUAAGUGAAACAAGCCAGGCACAGGAAGACAAAUACCACAUGCUUUCACUCAUAUAUGUGGAGCAUUGUACCCUGGAAUGCCAGUUCCUUGAUGAAGAGAUUGGAUUUUUUUGACUGAAUUCUAUAUACUUCUCCAAGUACCUGGUAUUUAGCGGCCUCUCAGCUAUUACUAAUACUUGUUUGGUCCUGGAGAUGUUUAAUAAUUACCUGUUGCUUUAUCUUGAGGAUAGCAGUCAAGUAGAAUGAAGACUGCUGAGGUGAAAAACAGACACACAAAAGCCUAAAUAGCCGAGAGUCCUCAGUUCACUGGAGGCUCCAGAUAUCUUCACAAUUGUAAAGACAGAAACAAAAAAUUUGAAAAAUACCAAAAGGAAAAAUAAGUGCAAACCAAAACAGGGAAUGACAAAGGAAGCCAUCUGAAGAUGCCUUCAUCAUCUGAACAUUUCUCAGUUGCUAUUUUACUUUUUGAAAGUAGACUGUUAUUUAAGAGUCAAUUGCAUUUAUCUGUGCCUCAUCUCCCCUAUUUAUUAUGCCUCCUCAAGGCAUUGGACAAUGUUAACCACAUUCCUUUUAACUCCCCAGAACAUUGAGUCUUAUGCAUCAAGUGAGAGCAAUUUAUAAGCCCUUCGUUAUGUUUUCCCGGAAACUAGAUGAAAGUGUUUUAAGUAAGGAGAAAUCACUUAAAAUGGUAAGCUUGUCUAUUUCUCUGCAUGGUUGAGGACGUCCAGCUGCUCUGGGCUGCAGUUUGUGUCCUGCCAUCCCUGCAAAACUUCUGCCUGAUAUCUGCCUUCACCACCACCCAACCCAAAGCAACUCUGAUUCUGGCAAGCUGACCUCUCUUUUUUCAGGGCAAUUUAUCUCUCCCUGUGCCCUGGGAGAGGCCAGACAACAGUCCUGAGAGACGCUGCCAGCAAGUUGUUUAUGCCAGGAGAGUGUUGCCCUACCCGUGGCCUCACUGCAGAGCCCUCUAUGGAGAGGGGAUGUAUCUGAUUCUGAUGUUCUUUUACAAAUCAAAUUUCUGCAUUUUAAUUUUUGUACCUCUUCUCAGACGCUGCAUUGUAUGAUAGAAUAUUUAUUUUAUUAUUAAAAAUGGUGAAUUAACUAGCACAUUGCUUUUUCUAUCUUAAUAACGACUAUCUUAAUUCUGUAAAAUUAUAAUGUAAGUCUUGAGUAAAGUAGUCAUUGCAGUAUUUUAUAAUCCUAGUCAUAUACCAGAGCUUUCUCAAGGGGAAAAGUAUUAUAGUUAUCUCUUCAAUAUUUGCUUAUGUGAAACAGUUAUUAACACCGUUUAUAGCUAACCCUGUCUGUAGUGACUGUUUUGAGAACCCUAAAUCUCUAAUUUAAAGGCCCAAGAUUUUAUCAGUUUGUAUGGAACCUGUGUUUGCUCCUCAGUCCUGGUUUCCUAAUAAACUUAUGAAGAUAUUUGUGAUGGAUUUCUGAAGAUUUCGAGUACAUGUGAGGGGAUUCAGUACAAAUUACAGGGAUUCAACACAUUGACAGCAGGAAAAAUGUAAUGAAUUGUUAGGUGGGGAAUGAUGUAAAGUGAAGUAAUCUGAAUAAAAGCCUAUAUUAUAUUUGUUAGCUGACUUAGUUUAUCUUUGUUGUCACUGAGGAAGCAUAAUUUUUUAUCUUCAGUAAUAGUGUAAGUUAUUGUACAAAGCCUAAAAAUUAGUAUUCUCUUUGUAAACAAAAGAGUAUCUGAGACAAGUCUCAAUCAUUUUAGAAGUUUAUUUUGCCAAAAUUAAGGACACGCCCGUGACAAAGCCUCAGGAGGUCCUGAAAAUAUGGGCACAAGGUGGUUGAGCUACAACUGGUUUUAUACAUUUUAGGGAGACAUAAAACAUCAAUACACAUAACCUGUGCAUUGGUUCUUUCUGAAAAGGCAGGACAACUAAAAGUGGGGGCUUCCAGGUCAUAGACAGAUUCAAAGAUUUUCUGAUUGGCAAUUGGUUGAAAGAGUUAUUACCUAAAGACCUGGAAUAAAUAGAAAGGAAUCUGGGUUAUAAUAAG